rnacentral:tRNA from 1 species
GCGCAGGUGUCGUAAUUGGUAGCCGAGCACCCUUGAGGUGGGUGUGCCCUACGGGCGUGGAGGUUCGAGUCCUCUCCUGCGCACCA